GUUCAACCGCUAGCUUUAUACAGAAAAUCGCCGACAAAUAUUGUAUAAAUUCGAGUAAAAUCGUAUCUGAUUGACAAAAACAACAUUGUAAACACAUAACAAUGGCGGCCGUGAAGACAAAAUUUUACAAAAUCGGAUCCGAUUCCGGAAGCGGAUAAGGGUAAUUCCGGGUUUGGCGAUCAUUUACAAAAUAAAUCCAAGCAGGUGAAAAAAUACAUCUAUGCAUGGUAAAUGAAUAUAAACACUAGUAUUGUAAACCAAAAGAUAUAUGUAAAAGAAAGAAAAAGCAGAAAAAUAUUUUAUUCAGAAACUCAAAAUUACUUUUUGACAAAUUUUAAUUUAAAAAUCCAAUACAACGUGACAGCUGGGAACAGUAUAUAUCUAACAAUAUACAUGUUCAUGGUCACAGUCUAAAUUUUCUUUAUAAAUGAUAAAUGAUGAUAAUGCAUGUGAGAUGCUUUUAAAGUGUAAACAUAUUACUGCAAUUUCGAGGGUUAUUUGUUUUUUCUCAAUUUUGAAGGGUCAAUUAAAGUAGCUGAAAGUUUCAUUCUUUAUUUUCACAAAUAAUGCAACUAUAUUAUAUAUACCUUAAUGUAAGUAAAUCAUAUGAUAUAUAGGUGGCAUUCUUUGGGCCACUCUACCCCUCCUGUUUGAUAACUUGGAAAACGGUCGAGCUCCCCACCCCUAAACCAUAUGAGGGCAGAUCCAGGAUUUUAGGUUAGGAGGGGCGCAAACUUAAAUUUUCGCCGAGCAGAGCGAGGCUAAAAAAAAAUUGAGGUAAAAAUUAUCGGAAUAUUCUUUAUUAAGCUGAGAACAACCCAUGCUUUGCAAAUUUAAGGGGGGUGCAAGCCCGCAACCCUCCCCCGUCUGAAUCCGCCCCUGCAUAUAUUCAAGUAUAGGACAAUAUAAUAAAUAAAAAAUGAAAUAUAGGGGAGUCCCUGGAGUUACCCCACCCCUCCUGUUUGAGAACUUGGAAACGGUCGAGAUCCACACCCCUUAACCAUAUAUAUUCAUGUUUGUGACAAAUAUGAAAAAUCAAAUGAAAUAUAUAUAGGAAGAGUCGCUAGGGGUCACCCCACCCCUCCUGUUUUAGAAUUUAAAAAUGGUCGAGAUCCCCAUCCCUAAACCAUAUAUAUUCAUGUAUGGGACAAUAUAACAAAUC
rnacentral:lncRNA from 1 species